rnacentral:lncRNA from 10 species
GCACAAAGACUCCAUCUAACAGCUACCCGUAUUUCCUGACAGUGACUCUGAAAGGUUUCAGUGAAAACUUCAAGUGGAAGUAAGGAGAAGAAGGAAGUUGGAGGAAGAAGGAGGGGUAGGAAGAGGAAUAAGAGAAGAGGAGGAGGAGGAGGAAAAAGAAGAACAAGAAGAAGGAGAAGGAGAAGAAGAAACAAGAAAGAGAAGGAGGAGGAGGAGGAAAAAGAAGAACAAGAAGAAGGAGAAGGAGAAGAAGAAAGAAGAAAGAGAAGGAGCAGCAGUGGCGGUGGCAGCCACAGGAGCAAAAGGAGCAGAAGAUGACUACAAUGCGAUGAAGAUACAAUGAAACAUAGCUACUUACUCUUGUCACGCUGAAUUCUAUGAUUAUAUAUAUGCUGAUGAUCAAAGUUAUGAAAAUCAUGUGAAGGGAUAAAAUAAUGCAUGCAUGACUUAGAAUUUAACUUUCUAUAAAUUUAAAAUUGGUUGUUGAUUGCUUUGUUCAAAAAAUUGGAGCUGACUCUUCUCCCUAGAAAUACUGAAAGAAAUGUACUGAAAGCACAUGGAGAAAAAAGACAGU